rnacentral:lncRNA from 1 species
GUAAGCACGUACGAUACAAUUGGUAAUUGGUAUAAACGUUAUUCGCUCCGAUCCACCCCCCCCGGGGCGGGCAGCCUUCGCAGAGGAUCCUGGAGAGAGGGGAGCACACUGACAGGUUCUAGACCAAGCAGCGGUGUCGCUGCCAUGCAGACGCCCGCCGCAGCUGCCUCUGCACUGCAGCAGGGAAGGAAGCCAGGCGACAACGAGACGGACAUCCAGCUGAAAACGCCAAGGCCACACACACACAAAGCUAUUGGAGCUGCAUGCGAGAGCCAUUCAUGAAGCUUCGAUCUUCCGCUAUGACGAUUACCACUGUACAUAUCUCUUCUCCCCUGCUCCCGGCCGUAGUGUAUCGUGGCAACGGGUUGGGUGGGGCCUGGUUGCCGUGGCUCUCAUGGCCUCGAUUCACGCCACGUGGCGUUGCCAGCUUGUGCCUGGACGGCCCUGAUGGUCCCGGGCUAGGCGAACUCGGUUCCUUGGGAGUUUAACCACCCGCCUGGCUACAGAUGCAUCGUCACAUUCCGUUUUUUCUUUUUUUUACUGGUUUAGCUUUUUACAUUUUUCUGAUGCAACCCCCUAGAAAAAUAGACUUGGUCCUGUUACGAGGAAAACCAGGCCCAAAAACCGAUACAAAUGCACGGCUUAUUCAAAGAAAGCCGUGCGGAAAAUCCUGACAAAAAUCAAACACA